rnacentral:rRNA from 1 species
UACGUAGGGACCGAGCGUUGUCCGGAAUCAUUGGGCGUAAAGAGCGUGUAGGCGGCUCGCUAAGUCUUGCGUGAAAUCUCGGGGCUCAACCCCGAGCGGUCGUGAGAAACUGGCGGGCUAGAGUGCGGGAGAGGAGAGUGGAAUUCCUGGUGUAGCGGUGAAAUGCGCAGAUAUCAGGAAGAACACCCGUGGCGAAGGCGGCUCUCUGGACCGGAACUGACGCUGAGGCGCGAAAGCGUGGGGAGCAAACGGG